rnacentral:rRNA from 1 species
AGCUCAUGAUUGGGUAUAAAGCGUGCGUAGGUGGGUUUGUAAGUCAGUGGUGAAAUCUCCGAGCUUAACUCGGAAACUGCCAUUGAUACUAUAGAUCUUGAAUUAUCUGGAGGUAAGCGGAAUAUGUCAUGUAGCGGUGAAAUGCUUAGAUAUGACAUAGAACACCAAUUGCGAAGGCAGCUUACUACGGAUACAUUGACACUGAGGCACGAAAGCGUGGGGAUCAAACAGGAUUAGAUACCCUGGUAGUCCACGCCCUAAACGAUGGAUACUCGACAUCAGCGAUACACUGUUGGUGUCUGAGCGAAAGCAUUAAGUAUCCCACCUGGGAAGUACGACCGCAAGGUUGAAACUCAAAAGAAUUGACGG